AUGAAGCUGGAAUUGCUAGUAAUCACAGGUCAGCAUACUGUGGUGAAUACGUUCCCGGGCCUUGUACACACCGCCCGUCACACCAUGAGAGUUGAGAAUACCCGAAGCCCAUGUCAAAGUGGUCGAAGGUAGGCUUGAUGAUUGGGGUGAAGUCGUAACAAGGUAUC
rnacentral:rRNA from 1 species